GGGGGAUGAUGAGUGGUCGAUGCUCGCGGGAUGCGAGAGGGGUGUACCGGCCUAAAGCCUGGUUACGACAACCCGGGCGCUCCAAUCCUUUGUACCUUCUGAUCCC